AACCCGAACGGCGAUUGAUAACAGCCGUAGUGUUGUGUUCCGCUGAUUUCUUGUCUCGAGUGUCUCCCUUUCGUACCACCCACCCAAAAUCCCACUAGGGUGCUGGUGAUGAACGAGAAAAGUGCAGUGUCUUUUAGAAUCCGACAAACGAUCGUGUGCAAAAUACGAUUAUCACAAGUUGAUUAAGAUCGAGCCCUGAGGAAGAUCCCAACCCAAGGAUCGAAACGUUGGCAAUGAUAUAGAAGUAUCAACGCUUUUUCCGUGACUGAAAGCCGAAAAACUCCCAUAGUUAUAAAA